rfam:Aggregatibacter actinomycetemcomitans D11S-1, complete genome.
UCCUUGACACUCUGUUUGAGUAUCCUGAAAACGGGCUUUUCAAGAUCAGAGUGUCAACUAAUCAAUAAACAAUAGGAGUGCAUAGUGGCCCGUAUUGCAGGCAUUAACAUUCCUGAU